AUUCAGCUGACAAGUCCCAAAAUAGAACUAAACGUGCGUCCUGGAU
rnacentral:hammerhead_ribozyme from 1 species